AACAACACGGCCACUGUAUUCAUUGACAUACAGUAUCAAGUUUCGCUUCAGAAAUUAUCUCUAUUAAGUGCCAGCAUUUUCUGUAAGGGGAGUUUUAACAUGGUGUCAUUUCCCUAUGGAAAGCCACGUGAACACGGCAGUGCUGAGAUGUUGGAAGUGUCAAAUGUGUAAUAGAUUCAAGAAGUCUUUUGAUCACGAGAAAUACAGGGGGAGGGAAUGUUCCAGUAAAAUGCAGCAUUUGGCACGUCAAUAUGAGGCUCUGUCUGACUGGAUUAUGGGACAUAUAG